rnacentral:rRNA from 1 species
UACGUAGGGUGCGAGCGUUGUCCGGAAUUACUGGGCGUAAAGAGCUCGUAGGCGGUUUGUCGCGUCGUCCGUGAAAACUUGGGGCUCAACCCCAAGCUUGCGGGCGAUACGGGCAGACUUGAGUACUGCAGGGGAGACUGGAAUUCCUGGUGUAGCGGUGAAAUGCGCAGAUAUCAGGAGGAACACCGGCGGCGAAGGCGGGUCUCUGGGCAGUAACUGACGCUGAGGAGCGAAAGCGUGGGUAGCAAACAGG